GACGGAAGGUGCAAGCGUUGCUCGGAAUCACUGGGCGUAAAGGGUGCGUAGGCGGCCGUGCAAGUCUGGCGUGAAAGCCCCGGGCUCAGCCCGGGAAGUGCGCUCGAAACUGCGCGGCUCGAGUGCCGGAGGGGAGAGUGGAAUUCCUGGUGUAGCGGUGAAAUGCGUAGAUAUCAGGAGGAACACCAAUUGCGAAGGCAGCUCGCUGGAACGUAACUGACGCUGAGACGCGAAAGCGUGGGGAGCAAACAGG
rnacentral:rRNA from 1 species